GUCCUAGCCGUAAACGGUGUGCACUUGACGUGGGAGGAAUUAUCCCCUUCCGUGUCGUAGCUAACGCGAUAAGUGCACCGCCUGGGGAGUACGGUCGCAAGAUUAAACUCAAAGAAUUGACGGGGCCCGCACAAGCGGUGGAGCAUGUUGCUUAAUUCGAUGCAACGCGAAGAACCUUACCUGGGUUUGACAUGUGGCUGGAUGCUGCGGGAAACCGCGGAGGCUUUCGAGGCUGCCACACAGGUGCUGCAUGGCUGUCGU
rnacentral:rRNA from 1 species